GACGAACGCUGGCGGCGUGCUUAACACAUGCAAGUCGAACGGAAAGGCCCUGCUUUUGUGGGGUGCUCGAGUGGCGAACGGGUGAGUAACACGUGAGUAACCUGCCCUUGACUUUGGGAUAACUUCAGGAAACUGGGGCUAAUACCGGAUAGGAGCUCCUGCUGCAUGGUGGGGGUUGGAAAGUUUCGGCGGUUGGGGAUGGACUCGCGGCUUAUCAGCUUGUUGGUGGGGUAGUGGCUUACCAAGGCUUCGACGGGUAGCCGGCCUGAGAGGGUGACCGGCCACAUUGGGACUGAGGUACGGCCCAGACUCCUACGGGAGGCAGCAGUGGGGAAUAUUGCACAGUGGGCGGAAGCCUGAUGCAGCAACGCCGCGUGCGGGAUGACGGCCUUCGGGUUGUAAACCGCUUUCGCCUGUGACGAAGCGUGAGUGACGGUAAUGGGUAAAGAAGCACCGGCUAACUACGUG
rnacentral:rRNA from 1 species